AACAGUUUAGCCCGAAAUCGUUAUUUCCGCUUUUGAGAUAUAGGAAAAAGUAAAAAAAAAAUCGGAAUAAAAGAACUUUCGCCCAUAAACGGUGAUAUUUAGGGAAAUCAUAUUUGAAAGACUAAAUAGUAUUACGAAAUACCUUUCUAACAACAUAUAUCGACAAUAUCGAUUUAUCGUCGCUUGUGAACAGCUGUGUUUACUUUUGUGCUCCGAGUUUUUGUCUUUUCCAGUGAUUUUUGUGCGAGUGUUCUGUGUGUAUUUAUUUACAAAGAUUAUUCUAACAAUUGUGCUAGUAAUUCUAAAUAGAUCUCCCAGUAACGGGUAACUUUAACCUACCUGAUAUUUCUUGGUCUCCUCCUACUGACUCAUUUGUCGCUAUGCCGUUAUCCGCGCAUGAUUUUGUGGAUGGCCUUUUAGAAUUAUCGUUACAGCAAACCCAUCUGAAAUCACGCUCUUGUUGUACCUGAAGACCUAUAUCAUCCUACUAUGGAACUGACAAUUUGCCUCCCCUGCUCUGAUACCCUCUAUCCUUUAGUUUCUCCAAUUUAAAUGAGAUGUUUUCGUAAAUGUAACUAUAAUAAACUUAACGAUAUGAUUUCUCAUUAUAUUUUUUCGAAAUAUGUUGUGGCUCGAACAGAUUUUAAUGUUCUCAACAGUCAUUGCUACUCUCUGUAUCUAA